GACGAACGCUGGCGGCAUGCCUAAUACAUGCAAGUCGAGCGAACAGAUGAAGUGCUUGCACUUCUGACGUUAGCGGCGAACGGGUGAGUAACACGUAAGGAAUCUACCUAUAAGCGGGGGAUAACAUUCGGAAACGGGUGCUAAUACCGCGUAAUAUCUUCUUCCGCAUGGAAGAAGAUUGAAAGACGGCUCUGCUGUCACUUAUAGAUGACCUUGCGGUGCAUUAGUUAGUUGGUGGGGUAACGGCCUACCAAGAAGAUGAUGCAUAGCCGGCCUGAGAGGGUGAUCGGCACAAUUGGGACUGGGACACGGCCCAAACUCCGACGGGAUGCAGCAGUAGGGAAUCUUCCGCAAUGGGCGAAAGCAUGACGGAGCAAUGCCGCGGGAGUGAAGAAGGCCUUCGGGUCGUAAAACUCUGUUAUAAGAGAAGAACAAAUUGUAGAGUAACUGCUACAGUCUUGACGGUAUCUUAUCAGAAAGCCACGGCUAACUACGUGCCAGCAGCCGCAGUAA
rnacentral:rRNA from 1 species